rnacentral:rRNA from 1 species
CGACCCCGGUCAUGGAUGGGCAUGCGGCGCAUUAGGUAGUUGGUGGGGCAACGGCCCACCAGCCCGACGAUGCGUAGGGGUUCUGAGAGGAAGGUCCCCCACAUUGGAACUGAGACACGGUCCAAACUCCUACGGGAGGCAGCAGUGAGGAAUAUUGGUCAAUGGCCGGAAGGCUGAACCAGCCAAGUCGCGUGAGGGAAUAAGGCCCUACGGGUCGUAAACCUCUUUUGCCAGGGAGCAAUGCCGUCCACGUGUGGACGGAAGGAGAGUACCUGGAGAAAAAGCAUCGGCUAACUCCGUGCCAGCAGCCGCGGUAAUACGGAGGAUGCGAGCGUUAUCCGGAUUUAUUGGGUUUAAAGGGUGCGUAGGCGGCCUGCCAAGUCAGCGGUAAAAUUGCGGGGCUCAACCCCGUACAGCCGUUGAAACUGCCGGGCUCGAGUGGGCGAGAAGUAUGCGGAAUGCGUGGUGUAGCGGUGAAAUGCAUAGAUAUCACGCAGAACCCCGAUUGCGAAGGCAGCAUACCGGCGCCCGACUGACGCUGAGGCACGAAAGUGCGGGGAUCAAACAGGAUUAGAUACCCUGGUAGUCCGCACAGUAAACGAUGAAUGCUAGCUGUCCGGGGGGAUUGACCCCUGG